UUCCUUCGGCACCGACGCCAACGGCAUGGCGGUCAAGAACGCCUGCGAGGUUCUGCACCAGCGACUGGAGCCGAUCAGACUGAAAAACCCCAAAGGAUCAUGGGAGAGUUGGGUCCAAGAAGCUUUUUUGGAUAAAAUCAGUUUAUCAGCCACUGGAUUCUUCAGAGGUAAGGACCUCUACAUGGACUGG